UACGGAGGGUGCGAGCGUUGUCCGGAAUCAUUGGGCGUAAAGGGCGCGUAGGUGGCCCGGUGAGUCUUUGGUGAAAGCGCGGGGCACAACCCUGCGUCGGCCAGGGAUACUGCCGCGGCUCGAGCACUGUAGAGGCAGGCGGAAUUCCGGGUGUAGCGGUGGAAUGCGUAGAGAUCCGGAAGAACACCGGUGGCGAAGGCGGCAUCCUGGACCGGCAUUGACGCUGAGGAGCGAAAGCCAGGGGAGCAAACGGG
rnacentral:rRNA from 1 species